UCGGUUUCUGCCCCCGGUUCUUCCCUUCCCUGCUCCGAAGUGAGGGAUUUACCCGAACUAAGCGGGCGGGGAGGCUGGAGAAGAAGCUGCCUAACGGCCGGCCGAGGCGGCCACCGCCUGAGGGGAGCCCGCCCUGCAGCCCGGGGCCCCGGCCGAGCGCAGCCCCGCCUGCGGCCUCGAGAGCGGGACCCGAGGACCCGGCGCGGCCAGAAGCUCUUCGGAGGAGCCAGCAUUAAGGCCGAGGGAGCGGCCGCGAGGUACCGUCACCUGUUCCCUCCCGAGGGCUAACCGAGCGCCGCCCGUCGGUCUCCCAGGCUCCCCGAGACCACAGUGCCGGUGGGACCGGGGGUCGUGCAGCCCCGCUCUGGAGCGAGCGUCUUCCGUACCCUCCCCGACCCCCGCCUCAAGCCCUCACACUGGCCUCCACCAUUUCCUCUCUUCAGUCUCCCCCUCCCACCCGACACUCCGCGACGGCAGUUAACACAUCUGAACGCGCCCAUCCUCAACCUGUCAGUUGCACCGGGAAGCCUCUCCCGCGCCCGUCCCCACCGCCCAGCCACGCAGCUCUGCAGUCACCACCUCAACGACCCGCUCCGAAACCCCACAGCCUCCUCUUGGUCGACCCGAGACACGCACUGCCCGAGUCCACGCGGUCCUGCGCUCCCUUGCCGCACCCGCCGCAGCGUCGCGCUCCAGGCGGCCGCGGCACCCUGGGGCCCUAAUGCUCAGUCCUGGGCCUCCACCACCCCACACCUUUCCCCGGCAGCGGACCCGCAGCCUCCAGCUCGCCGUUUCCGCAGCCGUCUCCACGCCGAAUAUCUAGCUCCCACGGACGGUCCCACCGGGCGGCUCAGGCACACACCCCCUCACCGGGUCUGAAACAGAACUCAUCACCGUCUUCCUCGAAACUGGCCUCGUGCAGACUGCCCCACAUUAGGUGAAUGGCACAGCCAUCCCGCCACCCUCCCCACCAAGAUGUAAGCCACCAACUGGGUGUCACACGCUGACCUGAACGUCUAGCUGAUAACACAAGGGUGAGCGUAUCAGACGAGGCUCUGCCUUAUCAGGGCUGGUCCAGUGAUCGCACACACGUUCCGACCGCGCUGGACGAUGUGGAGGACGGGUACAAGGUAGCACAAGAGGGCACAACAGGAUGGGUCCCAGAGGUCGUGGAAGGCUUCCCGGGGGCCGUACUUAAGCUGUUCCCUGAAGGACGAGCAGGACUUCACUAGGUGAGGAUAAGGCGUCCACCCCAGGCGGAGAGGAGAGUGGAGUGGAGGGAGUUGAUCACUCGGCAGCCGAUUCCCCCACCCCGAGCAACCUGGAGCCUCGUCCAGUCUGGCCUCCAGGAGAGGAAGCAGCUGCUCUCAACACCAGUGCUGUGGAGGCCAGCAGCGCUUCCUCCAAAUCCAGCUCACAACCGAGAGCCCAGACCUCGUUCCACCCCAAGGGUUGGCACCACGCGACGCGGCCACCACUGGGCGCGCUCACCCCACAGGCCAGCGGCGAGCAAGGCCACGUUGGGCGAGGCAGGAACGAGCCGGGUGACUCGGCGACGGCAGGCACUUACUCUAUCGCACAAGUCGGAGCCCUCCGUCUUCAGCCUGGACUGCAGCAGCGCCACCUCGCUGGCCAAGGCCUUGUGCUCCGUUUCCAGGCUCUUCCUGCCACUGUUGAGGGUGGACACGUCCCGGGACUGUUUGUACCUAUUGACUGUCUCGUCAAAGUGACGGUAGAGACCUAGUCUCUUGUUGACCAGGGUCAAGACCUGCUCUGUGAUGCAGGCCACCUUCAUCCUGGCUUCUGCAGCCGGAUCCUGGGGGAGAGACACCGUGUGUGAUGACAUCCAGCCCUGAGCCCACUCCGACCUUCUCCUCCCAAGGAGCACCCACCACUAGCACACAAACGAGAAAAGCCGCCAUCUUGGAAAGUCAGAGAAUCACACUUUCACCAACACUGACCCUGGAACGGUUCAGCCAUGGGCAGGAUAGGACGGGAAGAUGAAGCAGACGUUCACGUCCAAGUCCAGCAGGACAGACAGACUCGUAUAAAAGGGAUACUAAUGCCAGGGUGCACCGUGAGGGGUAUGAGGUACUGAGGGAGGAGAAAUCCCAUCUUGGCCUGGGGAGGGCUUCCAGGACGUGUUUCCAGGGCCUAAAGAAUGAAGCCCAAGCUCCUUAGCCAGCCACGGCCCUUUAGACGCGGCCCUAUGUCCUCCCCAGAAUCCCUCACCAGUGGGCCGCUGCAGAAGCCCUAACCGGGCAUGCUCAAAGGCUGACUCUGGCCUGCAGAAGGUCGGUUUGGCCCACAAUUAGUUUUUUUUUUCCUCAAUAAAUUAUCAAAGAUUUAAAAUAGAGAUGUAUACACAGGAAAUCGGUUGAAUAAACUACGACCUAUCCAUACAAGAGAGUCCUCUGCAGCUAUAAAAAAAUAAAUAACAAGGAAGAAAGCUCUCUAUGAACUGAUAUGAGUGAUUUUCAGGAUACAUAAGUGAAAAAAACAAAGUGAAAAAUAGAUAUGCUGUUGCUACCUUUUGUGUACAAAAGAAGAAAAUAAGAAAUAUCUGCCUAUUUUUGCAAAAUAAACAAAUCAGAAAGGCCACCUAGGGGACUGAUGAAAUUGUUCCCUACAAGGCAGGGUGGGACAGGGUGGAGGAAACCGCACCAUUUUCAAGUUCUCAAUUUAGAACUUUGUUAAUGUCUUACAGUAUCACAACCAACAUUAAAUAUCACCAAUGAUGGAGGAAGAAACCAGAAUAAAAUUCAAGCAUAAAUGAACCCAACUACCUUUCAAAUGAGUAACAUGGGAAAGAAGAACAGAGCAACUACCUUGGGAUCACAGUACUUUGACACUAUAGUCUCAAUCUAAAGACAAAAAGAGGGCUUCCCUAGUGGCACAGUGGUUGAGAAUCUGCCUGCCAAUGCAGGGGACAUGGGUUUGAUCCCCGAUACUGGAAGAUCCCACAUGCCAUGGAGCAACUAAGCCCGUGCACAACUACUGAGCCCAUAUUCUAGAGCCCGCGAGCCACAACUACUGAGCCUACGUGCCACAACUACUGAAGCCCGGGAGCCUAGAGCCCGUGCUCCACAACAAGAGAAGCCACCAAAAUGAGAAGCCCGCGCACCGCAACGAAGAGUAGCCCCUGCUCGCCGCAACUAGAGAAAGCCCAGGCGCAGCAACAAAGACCCAAUGCAGCCAAAAAUAAAUAAAUAAAAUAAAUAAAUUUAUUAAAAAAAAUAAAGACAAAAAGAACUGCCAAGAAACCUGGCGCUCUACUGGUGGGUUUGGGGUUUGUAGUGGUAUGAGUGCAGCAACUGUGGAACUGUUUUGUUUUGUUUAUAGACUUCAGCAAAUAAACACACUGAUGUUGGGAUCCAGGCAAAGAACCCUGCGGUGUUAGACUGGAAUAACUCAUAUUUCAAAUACUACAUGUAUUUAUCUCCCGGCUCUGUCUGCUGAAAGGGCUGAGGAGCAGAGAUGCUCCAAAAGCAGUGAUCACAACCAGCUCCCAGAUCAUGGUGUCCAGGUACCAUUCUGCACUGAAAGGAACCGGAGCUCCUUGGAGAAAAUACAAGAUAUGCCGGAGACGUAUUGCUGCACCCUACAAUAAGGAAGUGCUCAAAAAUAUGAUGUAGACAGAAAGACAGUCAAACCUGGGACACUUGAGCAUCAAAAGGAACAGCACAGUGGACAGUAAUCCAAUAAAAUAACACAUGAAUCCAAACGAAUAAUGAACCAACCAACCAACAAGAAAAGCUUUUCCUUACAGUAGAAAACCACCUAGUAAGGUAAAAGGCACCAUAGUUUUUCAGCCACCACAACUAUCAGAUUCAGAUAAGAAUUAGUAAUAAAUACUGUAACUAAUGGGUGAAUAUAUAUGAUAUUUAUAUAGCCUCAAACAGAUUAUAUAUUAAUUGCAAAAAGAAAAAUAGUAACUUUACAGUGAAUAAACCAAGAAAGGCACCAACUCAGCCAAGGAGAGUCAAUAUCACCAACCCCGGACCAAAUGACAUCAGGUACCUCCCGACUUGAUGCACUGCAGACGCAGCACCACUUUAUAAUGUUCCUGCCAAAAAUGCAUCAUCUGAAUUUUCAAGGAGAAACAUAAGAAACCUAAACUACAUACAAAGGCUGAGGAAUGUCCCAGAGUAAAGCUGACUAAGGAAAUAUGACAACUAAAUGCAACGCAUCAUCCUCAACUGAAUUCUGAAGUAUGAAAAAUAACGGCUACAGAAGUUACCCUUGGGGCGAUCAGCAAAAUUUGAGCCUGGACCGGGUGCUGGUUGUUACUAGAGCAACGUCACGUUCUCGACUUCGAUCGUCGUGCUCUGGCUGUGAGAGACGGGGCCCUCGGGGUCAGCCUGUGCACACGCCUAAGUAUUCAAGGGAGGUGGGCAACUUACUCUCAAACGGCUCAGGAAGAGUACACACGACAGAGAGGCCAAAUGUCAACCACUCCAUCCAGGUGAAGAGUGCACAAGAGUUCAUUUUACUAUUCUUGCAAGAUGUCUAAAUGCAGAAUCAUUUUAAAACUCGGCAUUUUUUAAGUUAAUAAAACAAAAGCAAUUUUUAUAGCGUAGAAAAUGGGGAUAUGUCACAAUAAAACCUAGACUCAGCCCUUCUGCGUGACAAGGCUGGCAGCUGCCCCGGUGGCACCCCUACCCCGGGGCAGCCUCGCUGGUCUACGGAACCAGCCAGACCAACGUCCUUGCUCGUUCAUACCAACUGCCACCCACAGGCCCCAGCGAAAGCCUGCCAUGCUGUCCCGCAAGCUGCUCCCUCCAGCCAAAAGCCCCGCCCCACCUCUUCUGCCGGUCACUUCCCCAGGAGCCUUUCUGGGCACACGCUCUGCCCACCGCCUCUCCCCACGGAACUGGCCGCCAGCAGCAACCUGUCUCCUUCAACAGCGCACGUCCAUGACCACAGCAACAAAAGAAGGGGUCUCUAGGGUAACGGUCAGCUGAGGCCACAGGCAGGGCAGAGGCGUAUGUCGCGCGGCCGGGCGCUGGGAAAGCGAGUCAAGCGCACUCUGCAGGCGGCGGAGUUGGGUACCUUUGUGAUGGAGAAGUCCAGCCUGACGUAGACGAUGACGGUGAAGAACAGGAUGUAGAAGGCAGCCACCACCAGCAGGGGCUCCUGCAGCAUGAGCACCUUGUUGAAGGUGUAGUGCACCUGGGGGGAGCCAGGAACACACGCUGACACACAGGUCCGCCCGGACUCGGAAACCUGGGGGCGAAGGGGCCUCACCAGGCCUACAACUGUCCGGGCUGCCCCCGCCAUCUGCCCCACCCCUGCCCCCAGAGGUGGCUGUGCCGAAACCACGUCAGGCAAGGAGGAGAGGAUGGCAGGUCCCCGACCCUGCAGCCGCUCUGCAGGGAGGAGGCCUGGGAGGCAGGGCUGUGGAGCACAUACCACCAUGUCCUGAAUGUGCUGUUCCACCAGGUUUUCCUUGUGGGCCACGAUCACGGGGCGGCCAAACGUGUCCAGGUAGGUGUAGUGCAGCUCGUCAGGGGCUCGGCUGAUCUCAUAGGGACUGUCCACUUGGAUGUUCCUAGAUGCCGAUGGGGGGAAACUGAGCCUCAGACAAACCACACUGACCAACUAGGUUCACAGUGAGGAUCCAAGGCCCAAGGGGUCUUCCCAGGUCACCAGUUCUACUCCACUCUGCUCCCCUCCCAUCACAGGGAACACCCGACCCCCUGAGACCGCAGACCCACUGUCAGAAAGCCCUGAGUAUGAGAAUGUUCUGUCGCCCGUGCCAAGGGCAGGUGGCCCUGUGAGUGUCCACUGGUUUCUGCCAACUGAACUCCUAGAGAUGCCGUGGCUCUGUCCUUUCCCAAGCCUGGUUCUUCAACUUAGGCCAACAUUUGAUGAGAUCCCUUACCCUUCCAGAUUCCUUCCUUUCUGCUUAAACUGGCCAAAGACAGCUCCCUCUGUUUAUAACCAUGGAACCUGAUAUACCAUCUGAGACCACCCUCCCCCCCCAACCUUCUGAACCUGGUGUGACACGCCCAGGACAAGACAAAGCCGUCUCCACUAUCCCUCCCCUUCCUAGGAGCACAGCCCAAGGCCACCCAGCUGCCUCAACUCUGCAUUCUCUCCUUUUGCCAGUCACCUCAUCGGACUCAGGCCAUCACUCUGGCCUGCUGUGAAUCCUGCCCCUGUCACAGAAAGGGUUGUGUUGGGAUAGCUCAUAAGUGAAUCUUGUGCCCUCACUGAGUCAAAUGUCUCAGUUUAAACUCCGCUGGAAGCCCCUCCUCUGCGCCCUAGAACCCAACGUCCCCCUGAGGUGCCAAGAGGGCACCACCAAGAAGGGAGACAGGAAGGGAGGUCAGACUCACUUGGCCCCUUCUGGCAGGAUGAUUUUCACAGUCAGAGAGUCUAUCACUUGUUCAUCAAACACGUGGUCCACAAGCCUCAUCUUCAAUGCAUACUGGUCUCCUGGAGGGUCAAGCAGACACAGCUGUGACUGGUUUUGUGCGUGUCUUUCUCGUAAGUAAAGCACUAGAAUCUAGGCCCUGAACGUCACAGAAGGAGACACCAGCCACCACCGACUGUGUACCUUCAAUGAAAGAACACGUCAGCUGAGUCCUGCUGAAAGGAUCGACCUGAGUCUGAUCAGGCUCCAGAGACAGCUGUCAAUGGGCUAGAAAUGCGAAGACAGAGGCAUGUGCUGCCCCUGUGCUCUGACCCGCAAUCAGCAAAAUCCAGACCAUGGGCUACACUACCAACAGGGUCAAGUUCUUCAACAGAUAAACCAUGAGGAAAACAGAUGGAGGAGGAAACUAUGGAUUACUAGAGGCUGACAAGACAAAUCAACUUUUUUGAAAAACGCAAAACUAGAGUAUCUAGAGACAUACAAGUGGGUGAUAGAACGAUGAAGAAAUUCAAGAGAGUGGCUCCCAAAAGUCAGGACGGUGAUCGCUGUUGUGGGGAAAGAGGAGGUACACAAGGGCCUUCUGAGUGGCUGGCAAAUUUCAAUUUCUUGACCUGAGUGAUGGUUACAAGGUGUUCCUCUUAUAAUUUACUGAGCUUUGCAUUUGUUUUGUGUGAUUUACUAUAUUUUAUUUUUCACUAAAAAGGUUUUAAAAGGAAAGACUUGGAAAUAUGACAAAAUGUUUAUAAUCAGUAGUUCUGGGUGCUUGUGUAAAAGUGUUUAUUAUUCUCUGAAUUUUUUAUUUUUUAAAUAUUUCAAAUUUAAAGAAUUUAAGCAGUUCCUUCUUAUGCUAGAACUGGGGGUAAGAAGAAGCUUUUUACUGUCCUAUGUGAAUUGAUUACCGUAUGCAGGUAUCACUUUUACAACAGUAAUUUAUACCAACCCAUGAAAAGUUGUUGCUGAUAUCCCAGCCUUCCUAAGAAUGACAAGAGAUUACCCUCUCCCCAUCUAAAAGGACUGGCAAUUAUCACACACACACACACACACACACACACGACACAGCACAAAACAAACCCACAGGAAAUUAAAGAAAAAGACAGUCUUUCUCUUUUCAGCUCUCUAACAAUUGAAAACUGACCCAAAUUAUAGAGGUACUCAUAGCUUGGGAGGUUGUAGCCGACGAUGUAAUGGGUCUUCCACCCGCCAAAAAGAGGAAAGCGAGGCCGGAUUUCCAUCUCUACGGAGUCAUCCAAAAUAAGAAGGUGGCUGGUGGAAACAUUGCCAAUCUCAUCCCGAUAAUAAACAUCCUGUGCAGCAGCAGGAAGGAUGGUCUGCAAGACAGUGAGUAUACCAUCUGAAGACUCAGAGGAAGUGAUCCUAAGUCCAGAAAAGACUUCCUGCACCAAGCUCUUCAUCACACUACUACUUAAUAGUCUCCAAACUGUGAACAACCUGAGGAAAGUCUAACUUCCCCCCAAAGGCUUCAAAAUAUCUAGAUACCUCAUCUGCUUCUCAGUCAAGUUGAGCCCCUCGUCCCAUAUAAUUUAUACAUGAAGCACCAAAACUGGAGCCAAGGUCUGAACAGGUAUCUAUUUCUUUAAUUUUGUAUCUGUAUGACAUGAUGAAUGUGCACUAAGCUCCUUGUGAUAAUCAUUUAAUGAUAUAAGUCAAAUCAUUAUGCUGUACACCUUGAACUUAUUCAGUGCUGUAUGUCAAUUUAAUCUCAUUAAAAGUGGAAGAAAAAAAAAAAGUUAAAGGACAAAAGGACCAG